rnacentral:rRNA from 1 species
AGAGUUUGAUCCUGGCUCAGAACGAACGCUGGCGGCAGGCCUAACACAUGCAAGUCGAGCGAGACCUUCGGGUCUAGCGGCGGACGGGUGAGUAACACGUGGGAACGUACCCUUUGCUACGGAAUAGUCUCGGGAAACUGGGGGUAAUACCGUAUGUGCCCUUCGGGGGAAAGAUUUAUCGGCAAAGGAUCGGCCCGCGUUGGAUUAGGUAGUUGGUGGGGUAAUGGCCCACCAAGCCGACGAUCCAUAGCUGGUUUGAGAGGAUGAUCAGCCACACUGGGACUGAGACACGGCCCAGACUCCUACGGGAGGCAGCAGUGGGGAAUCUUAGACAAUGGGGGAAACCCUGAUCUAGCCAUGCCGCGUGAGUGAUGAAGGCCUUAGGGUUGUAAAGCUCUUUCAGCUGGGAAGAUAAUGACGGUACCAGCAGAAGAAGCCCCGGCUAACUCCGUG